GGAUUAGAUACCCUGGUAGUCCACGCCCUAAACGAUGUCAACUGGCUGUUGGGAGAGAAAUCUCUCAGUAGCGAAGCUAACGCGUGAAGUUGACCGCCUGGGGAGUACGGCCGCAAGGUUGAAACUCAAAGGAAUUGACGGGGGCCCGCACAAGCGGUGGAUGAUGUGGAUUAAUUCGAUGCAACGCGAAGAACCUUACCUACCCUUGACAUGCCAGGAAGUUUCCAGAGAUGGAUUCGUGCCCGCAAGGGAGCCUGGACACAGGUGCUGCAUGGCUGUCGUCAGCUCGUGCCG
rnacentral:rRNA from 1 species